AAAGAAGAAGACUGAAGAAGGAGGAGAGGUUUUAUAUACGUAGAUCGAUCUUUCCAUAUCCACCACCACCAUCUAUGACCAAUUUCUCGUCUGUAGGAGGAUUACAAGGCCUUCCCUCAUCCGAAAGAGACGAAACGUCUGCGGCUAAUGGUGCAUUUCUCUAGGGCCGGCAACACAUGCUCUUUUGUC